AGUGAACGCUGGCGGUAGGCCUAACACAUGCAAGUCGAACGGCAGCACAGUAAGAGCUUGCUCUUACGGGUUGCGAGUGGCGGACGGGUGAGGAAUACAUCGGAAUCUACUUUUUCGUGGGGGAUAACGUAGGGAAACUUACGCUAAUACCGCAUACGACCUACGGGUGAAAGCAGGGGAUCUUCGGACCUUGCGCGAUUGAAUGAGCCGAUGUCGGAUUAGCUAGUUGGCGGGGUAAAGGCCCACCAAGGCGACGAUCCGUAGCUGGUCUGAGAGGAUGAUCAGCCACACUGGAACUGAGACACGGUCCAGACUCCUACGGGAGGCCGCAGUGGGGAAUAUUGGACAAUGGGCGCAAGCCUGAUCCAGCCAUACCGCGUGGGUGAAGAAGGCCUUCGGGUUGUAAAGCCCUUUUGUUGGGAAAGAAAAGCAGCAGGUUAAUACCCCGCUGUUCUGACGGUACCCAAAGAAUAAGCACCGGCUAACUUCGUG
rnacentral:rRNA from 1 species